ACACGACUCUCGGCAAUGGAUAUCUCGGCUCUCGCAUCGAUGAAGAGCGCAGCGAAAUGCGAUAUGUGGUGCGAAUUGCAGAAUCCCGCGAACCAUCGAGUCUUUGAACGCAAGUUGCGCCCGAGGCCAACCGGCCAAGGGCACGUCCGCCUGGGCGUCAAGC
rnacentral:rRNA from 1 species